UCACUGCUUCUAAACCCCUUUAAACCCCACCAGCACAGAUUGCGAAGGCAGAGAGAUUCCAUGGCUACUAAGGAGUGUGUCCUCACAUUUCCCAUUGCACUGGUGCUUUGUUAGUCAGGGUGUCAAACACUGUUCCUUGGGUAAAUAUUAAGGUAUUCCAUUGUAGAGUUUCUUUGUGGGAAUUAAUGUACAGUAUGCAGCAAUUUCACCAGUGUCCGCACACAAUCGGUUAUUUUUGCAUUGUUAUCUCCGAAGUCAUCUUAGCUCUUAGUUUCUUCUCUGAGGAGAAGACUAGUAACAAUGCUCCAGAUUUUAUUCUCUUUCAAGAUACAGCCUACAGUGUCAUUGAUUGUGGCAUCACUACCACCUACAAUGAGAUUAAAGCAAAUUUGAAAUGAUGAUGACCAAAUGGAAAGAAACCAACUUCCUCUGUUUGAAGUGGAAUAGCACAGAGUGGAGCAGAACUCUUCUACCCACCAUUAUCCUGAACGGCGAUUGGAGUCGCCAUGGAGCCUCCAAACAAGAGCGAAAUCACAGCAAGUUCCUGGACACAUUCAGAAGCCUCUGGAGCUGCCGCGAGGCAUCGUGGGAGUUGCAAAGAAAACCAC